CAGAUUGAUAGAUUUCCCCCUAACAUUUAAUUUGACAUACAGAUAGAUUUUCCCAGGUUUCUCUAAACAUUUACAUUAACAGACUGAUAUAUUACCCUAAACAUGUGCAUAGACAGACAGACAGAUUACCCUAACUAUUUAAACUGACAGAAAGAAAAUUUUCCCCUACAUUUUUACUGACAGACAGACAGACAAACUUACCCAUUUAUUUAAAUAUAUUGACAGGCAAGUUGUCAGACAGAUUACCCCAAAUAUUUAAAAAGAUAAAGAGAC